UUACAAUACAACCUGAUAAGU
rnacentral:miRNA from 1 species